UGCUUGCACAAGCUGAUGCUAAUGGUUACUUGAGAGUUUAUGGAUUAGAGUGUUGUUCUAAUGGAGGGGACUCUUUGUCUCUAAGAGAGAUAGUUGGU